CGCAGGUUAAGAUCCUCCCUGGGUUUUCUGGGAACAUAGUUCUUUGUACAAUGGCUGUGGCUUCAACACUGAACACCUACAGUAUGGAUCACAUUUCUGAAAAACCUAGCAUCUCAUCUACUUCCUGGCCCUCUACAGGGACAAAAGGGCCGACAAGAUAAUGGCCGAUAAAUGCUCUUGCCGCCAAACCUGACUACCUGAGUUUGAACCCCUGAGAACCCACGUGAAGGAUGGGAAGAACUGACUCCCACACGCUGC